rnacentral:rRNA from 1 species
AGUUUGAACCCCCGAAACUAAGUGAGCUACUUCGAGAUAGUACUAAGAACAAACCCGUCUCUGUUGCAAAAGAGUGGGAUAAUCCCCAAGUAGAGGCGACAAACCUACCGCACUUAGAGAUAGCUGGUUAUUCAAGAAAAGAAUUUAAGUUCAACCUUAAGUUUCUAAAUUAAACAAAAAAUACAAAACUUUAGAGCUAUUCAAAUAAGGCACAGCUUAUUUGAAACAGAACACAACCUUCAACACAGGGUAAUAUUUAACAAACAAAUAACAAGUGGGCCUAAAAGCAGCCACCUUCAAAAAAGCGUUAAAGCUUAACACUAUAUUAUUUUAAUACCUUCCCCCCUCACUAACCCUUCACCUAUAUUGAAUAACUCCAUAAACCUAUGGAAAUUAUUAUGCUAGAACUAGUAACAAGAAAUAGCUUUUCUCCUAAAUGUAAGCUUAAGCCACUAUAGACAAAC